GAGACCUCAGGUCAGGCGGGGCUACCCGCUGAAUUUAAGCAUAUCAAUAAGCGGAGGAAAGGGC
rnacentral:rRNA from 1 species